rnacentral:rRNA from 1 species
GAUGAACGCUAGCGGCAGGCCUAACACAUGCAAGUCGAGGGGUAACAGGGGAGCUUGCUUCCGCUGACGACCGGCGCACGGGUGCGUAACGCGUAUAGAACCUACCUUUUACAGGGGAAUAGCCCAGAGAAAUUUGGAUUAAUGCCCCAUGGUAUUAUAGAAUGGCAUCAUUUUAUAAUUAAACAUUUAUGGGUAAAAGAUGGCUAUGCGUCUUAUUAGUUAGAUGGUGAGGUAAUGGCUCACCAUGACUACGAUAAGUAGGGGUCCUGAGAGGGAGAUCCCCCACACUGGUACUGAGACACGGACCAG